UACGGAGGGUGCAAGCGUUAUCCGGAUUCACUGGGUUUAAAGGGUGCGUAGGCGGGCAGGUAAGUCAGUGGUGAAAUCCCCGAGCUCAACUUGGGAAUUGCCGUUGAUACUAUCUGUCUUGAAUAUCGUGGAGGUGAGCGGAAUAUGUCAUGUAGCGGUGAAAUGCUUAGAUAUGACAUAGGACACCCAUUGCGAAGGCAGCUCACUACACGAUAAUUGACGCUGAGGCACGAAAGCGUGGGGAGCAAACAGG
rnacentral:rRNA from 1 species